GACGAACGCUGGCGGCGUGCUUAACACAUGCAAGUCGAACGGAAAGGCCCCUUUGGGGGUACUCGAGUGGCGAACGGGUGAGUAACACGUGAGUAACCUGCCCUUGACUUCGGGAUAACUUCAGGAAACUGGGGCUAAUACCGGAUAGGAAUCCUUGCUGCAUGGUGGGGGUUGGAAAGCUUCGGCGGUUUUGGAUGGACUCGCGGCUUAUCAGCUUGUUGGUGGGGUAGUGGCUUACCAAGGCUUUGACGGGUAGCCGGCCUGAGAGGGCGACCGGCCACAUUGGGACUGAGAUACGGCCCAGACUCCUACGGGAGGCAGCAGUGGGGAAUAUUGCACAAUGGGCGGAAGCCUGAUGCAGCAACGCCGCGUGCGGGAUGACGGCCUUCGGGUUGUAAACCGCUUUCAGCAGGGGCGAAGCCUGUGGUGACGGUACCUGCAGAAGAAGCACCGGCUAACUACGUG
rnacentral:rRNA from 1 species